rnacentral:rRNA from 1 species
AUGAGAUGGGCACGGAGGUGCUCCUGGCCGUUGACAACAAGGGCAAGCAGCCCCUUCACCCAAUGCCCGACAAGGUUGUGCUGCCCCCCACCGUCGAGGAAGACCCGAAGACGCCUGAGGGUGGCGACGACGAGGGCAUGGAGAAGCCCCCCAGCAACAAGCGCCGCAACUACGGCCACUACCAUCAGGAGGAUGGCCCAACUCACUCCUGCAAGGUCAUCCUUGCACCGAAGCUUCGGUGCAUCCCCAUGCCCCUGGACUUCACCAAGCACUUCGUCGUGGUGCCGACGGAGUUCAAGCUCAGGAACAACACCGGCUGCUCCUGAAAGGUGA